AUCACGCUUUUCAACUCGGCGUAGUCGGUGAUAAGAUUGAAGGCCCUUGACUGAUCUCUCGACUGCUCUGUUUUUGGUCCAUUCCAAACUGUGAUGCGCUCUCUGAUGCUAUUAUUUGUAUUAGCAGCACUUGCUGUCUUCUCAACUCCCGUUCACGGAUUUGACGAUGACCCACACUGGCUGGUUCAUCGCCAAGGGCCUUUGUCAAGU